CAUUACAGAGUACGAGCGUACUACUCUCUAGUGGUGCUCUAACCUCCACCCUUGAAUAAAUUACCUUUGUUGCUUUGGCGGGUCGUCUUUGACCAGCGGCUUCGGCUGUUGCGUGCCCGCCAGAGGACCACAACUCUUGUUUUUAGUGAUGUCUGAGUACUAUAUAAUAGUUAAAACUUUCAACAACGGAUCUCUUGGUUCUGGCAUCGAUGAAGAACGCAGCGAAAUGCGAUAAGUAAUGUGAAUUGCAGAAUUCAGUGAAUCAUCGAAUCUUUGAACGCACAUUGCGCCCUUUGGUAUUCCGAAGGGCAUGCCUGUUCGAGCGUCAUUAUAACCACUCAAGCCUUCGCUUGGUAUUGGGGUUCGCGGUUUCGCGCUCCUAAAUCAGUGGCGGGGCCUGUCGGCUCUACGCGUAGUAAUACUCCUCGCGUCUGGGUCCGGAGGUGACUUGCCAGCACCCCCAAAUUUUUACAGGUUG
rnacentral:rRNA from 1 species